rnacentral:lncRNA from 1 species
GCUGGGAGCUGAGCGCAGGGUGAGCUGACACGGAUGGGGGGACCCGUGCAGCGGGGGGAUGGAGCGGGGAGCGGCGUGUGAGCAGUAACAGCACUCCAGGAGCAGCACAGCCUCCCUGCCUCUGCCGUGCAGUGAAACUGCCAGGACCGAGGGCUGGGGGCACGGCCAGCAGCGAAAUAAACACAGGAAAAAUGGGAGGAAAGCCGUUCCGGGGAAGAAAAGCAACGGACUUCUCUCAGAUGUUACAGAAAAGCGAAAAAGGGAAGUUCCUCGGGUCUUUCUCCGUAUACUUCCCAUCGACGCGGCCAUUACCGAAACAGAAAGGCACGGCGGAGGCACAGCCGCAGGGCCGCGGCCGCCGGAGGAAACGAGCUGCGCCGGAGCUCCGCCGGCCCCUGACGGGCACUGCCCCGCGGCACGGCGCAACUUCGGCUCCGGAUGGAAGUUGCGUCCCAGGAGCUUCCGAACGGGGACUUACGCGACGGCUGACAGUAAAGUAAUGUAAUUGCGCCGUCG